GACGAACGCUGGCGGCGUGCCUAAUACAUGCAAGUAGAACGCUGAAGAGAGGAGCUUGCUCUUCUUGGAUGAGUUGCGAACGGGUGAGUAACGCGUAGGUAACCUGCCUUGUAGCGGGGGAUAACUAUUGGAAACGAUAGCUAAUACCGCAUAACAAUGGAUGACACAUGUCAUUUAUUUGAAAGGGGCAAUUGCUCCACUACAAGAUGGACCUGCGUUGUAUUAGCUAGUAGGUGAGGUAAUGGCUCACCUAGGCGACGAUACAUAGCCGACCUGAGAGGGUGAUCGGCCACACUGGGACUGAGACACGGCCCAGACUCCUACGGGAGGCAGCAGUAGGGAAUCUUCGGCAAUGGGGGCAACCCUGACCGAGCAACGCCGCGUGAGUGAAGAAGGUUUUCGGAUCGUAAAGCUCUGUUGUAAGUCAAGAACGGGUGUGAGAGUGGAAAGUUCACACUGUGACGGUAGCUUACCAGAAAGGGACGGCUAUCUACGU
rnacentral:rRNA from 1 species